GAUGAACGCUGGCGGCGUGCCUAAUACAUGCAAGUAGAACGCUGAAGCUUGGUGCUUGCACCGAGCGGCUGAGUUGCGAACGGGUGAGUAACGCGUAGGUAACCUGCCUCUUAGCGGGGGAUAACUAUUGGAAACGAUAGCUAAUACCGCAUAAAAGUCGAUAUCGCAUGAUAUUGAUUUGAAAGGUGCAAAUGCAUCACUAAGAGAUGGACCUGCGUUGUAUUAGCUAGUUGGUGAGGUAACGGCUCACCAAGGCGACGAUACAUAGCCGACCUGAGAGGGUGAUCGGCCACACUGGGACUGAGACACGGCCCAGACUCCUACGGGAGGCAGCAGUAGGGAAUCUUCGGCAAUGGGGGCAACCCUGACCGAGCAACGCCGCGUGAGUGAAGAAGGUUUUCGGAUCGUAAAGCUCUGUUGUAAGAGAAGAACGAGUGUGAGAGUGGAAAGUUCACACUGUGACGGUAACUUAACAGAAAGGGACGGCUAACUACGUG
rnacentral:rRNA from 1 species